rnacentral:rRNA from 1 species
AUGCACAGGCUCGCUCGUCGGCACGGCCCCGUCAUGCUUCUCCGUCUCGGCCAUGUCCCAACGCUCGUGCUCUCCUCCGCCGAGGCAGCCAGGGAGGUCAUGAAGGUCAACGACGCCGCCUUCACCGACCGCCCCGUGUACGCCACCACACACAUCUUCACCUACGACGGUGAGGACAUCUCCUUUGCGCGCCACAGCAGUAGGUACUGGAAGUCCAUCCGAAAGCUCUGCGCCGUCGAGCUGCUGAGCCCGAGGCGGGUCCGGUCGUUCUGCCGUGUCCAGGAGGAGGAGGCGGUGAUGAUGAACGAUGUGGUCAUGAGGGCGUCCGUCGACGACAGGUGCACGCAGCAGGGCGCGUACCUACGGGAGUUGGACAAGGUGCUGGACCUCAUGUCCGGGUUUAACCUCAUCGACCUGUUCCCGACGUCGUGCCUCGCCCGGGCUAUCGGUGGCCAGGCUCUCAGAGCGACGUGGGAGGUGCACCGGAGAAUCCACUCCAUCAUGGACGCCAUGAUCAGCGAUCACAGAACAGCUAUGGAGGAUGAGGAGGACAAUGAUGUCGGCCGUGAGCAGAGGGGCGACAUACUCACUACUCUGCUCUAUUUCCAGAGGGACAACGAGAUUGGCGGCGUCGCCCUCACCAAUGAAAACAUGAGCGACAUCCUCUUCGACCUUUUCGCUGUGGGAUCGGAGACGACAGCCACAACAACAAUUUGGGCAAUGUCCGAGCUGAUGAGGAGCCCACACAUAAUGGCUGCCACACAGUCUGAAGUUCGAGGAGUCCUCCACGGUAAGACUGAGGUGACUGAGGCUGACAUCGAUGGCCUGCUGCACUACCUGCAGAUGGUCAUCAAGGAGACCUUCAGGGACGAGAAUAGCUGGACUAAUGCGAGUGAGUUCAUGCCCAAGAGGUUUGACGAUGAAAAGGUUGAUUAUGGUGGUACGGACUUCAGAUUCCUCCCUGGCAGCACUGGACGGAGAAUGUGCCCUGGUAUGAUGUUUGGAGUGUCAAACAUCGAGAUGGCUCUUGUGAGCCUUCUCUAUCACUUUGACUAG